GAAUGAGGGCGAUCUGGCUGCCGCGUCUGUCACCCCAUUAAUCGCCAGGGUUGAUUCGGCUGAUCUGGCUGGCUAACUGGAUGACCCCUUCCUCCCUUACCAGUCCGUGUGCGUACAUCCUUAAACUGCACACUCCGUCAAAGAGGACGACCCACUGUGAAGAGAGGAGGACAGGUCUUCGGUCAAGGGUAUUCGAAGUAGCUGAGCUCCAAACCAAGGUUUUUGCUCUUUCUUUGGUCCAGUAUUUCCUCAUUAUGCUCCCAUUCCUUUCUCUUGGAAUGGUAAUG
rnacentral:snRNA from 1 species